UCAGCCCGCCUGUCCUCCCCGACCCCCGCGGCGCCCCGAGCUGGGUCCUCCUCGACACCGCGGGAUACAUCGCCAAACGCGGCAACGCCACCUUCGCCAAGACCUUGGGGAGCAACGGCCAGCCCAUCGGGGUCACCUUCUGCACCGCCGCUCCGCCCCACGUCUCCCACUUCUGCGUCCACUGCCCCGGCCUCGCGCCCGCCGACUUCCUCGAGGAUCCCAAGGUGAUCGCCGCCGAGGCCGACCUCGUCCUCUUCCGCCUCUGCGUCGACCCCCUGGCCGUCGCCGGCGAGCGCCUCUUCGACUACUUCCUCUACACGGCGCACCCUCGCCGCCCCUCGCUCCAGCUUCUCCCGCACCCCUACCCCUACCUCUUCCACGACUGCGAGGCCGCCCUCCUGCGCUGCGGUGAGGAUGAGUACGCCAUCGCCGCUCUCAGGAACAUCGAUGACUACUUCACCGACGAGCCGCAGAUGUCCUUCAACCUUUACCUCUACCGCUCGUCCAGGCCCGGCGAGGGGUGGACCGCCAGGGUGGUGUCGGUGGAGGAGCCACUCAGGGACACGGUCUGCCCGGUGGAGGAGCCCAAGCGGGUUCCAUGAGACGACCAAGGCGAUCACGCUUGGAGGCGGCGCCGUUGGCUGGGUUGAUCUCUGGCGUGGCAUCCUCGUCUGCAACGUGUUCGAUGAAAAGCCUGUGCUCCGGGACGUGCCGCUGCCGCUGCCGGCAAGGGGUAACUGGGAAAUCUACCACAGAUGUGGCCCUUACUUUGCUCGGGACAUCGCGGUCAGCCCACAGAAAGACGUCAUCAAGUAUGUCGAGGUUGAAAUUUGCCUGCCAAGGAAGCCGACUACUACAAAGACGACUGAAACCUGCCACCCCCCGGAGCCGGAGUCCUACCUGGAAUGGUUCCGCCAACAGCAACACGAAGAUGAGGACGACGACGAUGAUGAUGAAGACGUUGGUGGCUGGAAGGCCACAACAUGGAGCUUGCCUGUCCCUAUUGCUUCAUGGGAGAACUGGCACUUUGACUACACCGUCGAUGUCGAUGACAUUACUGUCAACCCAUUGCAUUGUAAUCUGCUUCCAAGGCAGCUGCAGCCCACAGAGGCACAAGCAUUGCUGCCAGGACUCAUCACUGCUUUCCCCAUCAUGAGUAUGGAUGACGAUCUUGUCUACCUCUUGUCCAAGGCCAGCCCCAAAGACCAGAUGCAAGUUGUGAUUGCUGUUGACGUGAGGAGGAAGAUGCUGCUGGGAGUGGCCAAGCUUGUUACUGGAAAAGACUUCACUUUUAUGCGCACUUGCACCAGUGAGAUCUCAAAAUAUAUCAACAAUAAAUCUU
rnacentral:lncRNA from 1 species